AAAUUUAAUCUGUUCUGACUCUGACAUCUCCUGGACUCGAGACUCAUACCAAAAGAAAGAUCUUCGAGUCUAGUUUCAUAUAAAAAAAAGUAGAGGCGAAAACUCCAAGUGGUUUGAGAGAUAUGACGUUUUUACCACGAUCUACCAUUUCUGGCAGUUUUGUGCAACCGAAGGUUACAAUUUUUGAAAAAUAGUAAACGUUGUCAAACUGGGCUCAACUUUGGUGGAUAUCUAGCUAACACAAUAAGGUUGAUACCAUAAAAAGUCGGAAAGCUAGAUCACAUAGGAAGCUACUGAAAUGAAUGAAUCGUUCCCCUGUUCUCUGAAAUUCUCGGUAAUAAUGUGCAGUUUAGGUUUUGUAUUUUAAAGAAAUAUCAAACGAAGUUGAAAUAGCUUGAAAUUUUACCAGGGUACUCAAAACUCGUGUAGAAACUAUACAAACGAAGUUUAAAUAGCUUGAAAUUUUACCAGGGUACUCAAAACUCGUGUAGAAACUUGCUAUAAAAUUUUCAAAGCUAUUAGACAUCGAAAAACCAUCGAUCACAGUAGGUCAGUAGGCCUACGAAAUUCUCCAAUUUGUAUUUAAAACUUAUAUAUCUUAAUAAUAUCUCUAACUUGAAUAUAACAUCAUAAUUCUCAACAACAACUCAUCCCAAAACUCAUUUCAUCACUUCUAAUCAUCAAUCUAAACCAUCACUUAACAUCAUAGCAUGCUCAAGAAC
rnacentral:lncRNA from 1 species